rnacentral:rRNA from 1 species
UACGUAGGGUGCAAGCGUUUGUCCGGAAUUAUUGGGCGUAAAGAGCUCGUAGGCGGUUUGUCGCGUCUGCUGUGAAACCCGAGGCUCAACCUCGGGCCUGCAGUGGGUACGGGCAGACUAGAGUGCGGUAGGGGAGAUUGGAAUUCCUGGUGUAGCGGUGGAAUGCGCAGAUAUCAGGAGGAACACCAAUGGCGAAGGCAGAUCUCUGGGCCGUAACUGACGCUGAGGAGCGAAAGCAUGGGGAGCGAACAGG